rnacentral:lncRNA from 1 species
GAAGGUGAAGCUGAAGGAGCAGUCGAUGGAGAAACUGAUGGUGAAGAUGAAGGAGUAGCCGAUGGAAAAGCUGAUGGUGAAACUGAAGGAGUAGCCGAUGGAGAAGCUGAUGGUGAAGCUGAAGGAGUAGCCGAUGGAGAAGCUGAUGGUGAAGCUGAUGGUGAAGCUGAAGGAGUAGCUGACGGUGAAGCUGAAGGAGAAGCUGUUGGUGAAGCUGAAGGAGUAGCCGAAGGAGACCCUAAGCCACUUUCAGUGACGGGUGAGGCUCCUGGGGAAGCCGCUGGAGAAUCUGACCCUGUUGUAGAGUUUGUCGAGCCCGGU